UGUGUGAUUUUGAAUUGUGGUCCAUGGUGGAUCAUGGGAGGAGAUGCGAUUCAUGCAUCUGUCGUGGAUCACCCUGGUCCAAGGGGCAAAAAUUAUGGUCCAUGGCUCCUUUCUUCACGAUUCGAUGGCUGGGAGCUGAUCCAGAUGGUGUUUUGCAUGAUCGAGCAAUUUAGAGAGCUCGCGGGCAUGAUCAGAUAGUGUAUGGUUUUCUAGACUUUGAUC
rnacentral:lncRNA from 1 species